rnacentral:lncRNA from 1 species
CCACACCUGUGGCAUGUGAAAGUUCCCAGAGUGGUCACUGUUCUCAUAACGUGUAUUUGCGGCAUGCCUACCGUGUGCCAGGCACCGGGCUAGGUGCUGAGACUAUAGGGACACGUGGGAUGUGUCCUGCCCACGGCGAGCUCGUGGUCACAGGGCCAAGCAGACAGGCCCACCGCCACUACACAAAUGCAUCCAGCCAUCCAGCAUGAACAGACAGAGCACUUACUCUGAGCCAGAUACUAUUUUAAGCACUUUACAGGCUCAUUUAAUCCUUUCAAUAACUCCAUGAGGUAAGUGCAAUUAUUACCAGUCCCACCUUAUAGACGAGGGCACUAAAGCAGAGCCAAGAUCAAGUAAAACUCACUCGAAAUCAUCCUCGGUGAGGGACAAACCUCCAUGAACAUGCGGCUCCGAGGGCCAGCAGGGCAGCCAGAGGUGACCAGGGCCAAAGCCUCCUCUCUCUAUUUCCCAGAGCGAUGCCCUGGAAAUGGGUAAAAGAGAUGCCACUAGAAAAGAGAGGCAUGGAGGCAGCAGGGCUCUGGGGCUGCAGCCCUCAGACGAGGGCAGCUCCACGUGGUGCUGAUUGGGGGCGGGGGGCACAGCCUCAGGGUCAGUCAGAGCAGGUGCCUGGGGAGGCAGAGAGACUUGCUACCCGUCCAGCUCAGCCCCGAUGGCAUUUCCUCCUCCUCUUCUCUCAUGGCGUAAACUCCGCGCUGAGAGUCCUGCGUCCCACACAGGCCACCAGCGCCCCUCCAUCCUGUGGCAGCCCCAACCCAGGUUGUGGCUCUGCCUCUGACCAAGCAGGAGGGACCCUUUCCUCCUCCUCUUCUCCCAGCAACUCGGGGUGGGGGGCGGGAGAGGGGCUCUUCUCGAAUCUGGCUGAAAUGUGAGCUCCGUGAGGACAAGGACCUCUGUCUGCUUUGUAAACUGCUGAGAGGCGUGUGCUGAGGGACACAAAGACAUGGCCUCUCUCCAAAGGCUCUCUCCGUAUGUGACACGCACAUGCAUACGCACAUAUGUUCCCACGGAUACACACAUAUACAUAAAUGCAUAUGCAAAUAUAUGCUGUCUGCAUACAUCAUCUAUGCAAAUACCAUGUGUAUGCAAAUAUACACACACAUUCUCUGAAGCUACCACCAGGCAGUUCGGGGGAGCCCAACGAUUAAAAUGGUUAAUAAAUGCAGCUGGAACCACGACGCACUGAGGCUCCAUGGAGGAAGCUGAGGGGGCUCCAAAGAAUCCACAACUUCCAAUCAAGCCAGAAGGUGCAAAGGCCACCAAAGGGGGCAGGAAUGGGAAAAGGAGAUCCAGUCAGGCUCAGGGAACCAUUUGCAGAGAAUUUUGACUGACCCAAGGUUUUUGGCCCUUGUUUAUUUUUACGAAAACUGACACCUCUGCUUUAGACUGUUUGCUAUUCUAGCAGAAGUUGUUUCAUCUGAAGAACAUGUUCCUUUGCAACAAAGAAACAUUUUGUUUUGAAAACCACUGCUCACAUCCAAUGUCCUUACCCUGCAAACGGUCACUGGGCUCGCCGUGGACGCAGAGCAAGCCCGUGGCAGGACGGGAUAUCAGCAGACGUCACAGGGCUGGAUGGGGAGCAGAGGAGAAGGGCUGCUGCCAGGGACUGUGCACUGGCAGGGCCUCGGGGCCCCGACCUGGAAACCCGGGGGUCUCGGGGUCCCUCUCGGCACACGCCCACAACCAGGACGUGGUCUAGGACAGUCGACCCCCUCUGCAGCGGAGAGCUCCCUCCUGCUGGACAGGAUGCAGGGCUCUUGCUGCUGGAAGUCGGGAGUUGGUUGUUGAUUUUUUUCCUGCUUGGCUUGUUUUGACACGAGGAAGAAGCUAAUCCUCCUGGCAAAGGUGGCUCAUACAGCAGGGCAGCAGUCCCCUCCCUGAAGCAGUGGGGGCAGCCGGCUCCAACAGCGAGAAACCGGAUCUCAGAGUCCGGCUGGUCAGCAGCUGACCUCUCUGCUCUGACCUCUGGUGGCUCCUACACACCCCCCGGGGCCGACUUCCCUGAGGCGUACAAGCUCUGGAGGCAGACGGGUUCAAUGUCCACUUCCACCUGUUACUGGCCGAGUGAUUUCAGAAAGAGACCACGUCUCUCUGUGACUCAGUUUCCUCAGCUGUCAAACAAUCCCACAAUUAUUCCAGAGUCACGGGGAGGCUUAAAUGAGCGAAUGCAAAGCAAACACUUAGCACCACACCUGGAACAGAGUAAAUACUUGAUAAAUUUAGCUGUCACUAUUACUUUAUUUUUUGUAGAUAGGCCCUCGUUUUAAAACCCAAUCUCUUAGGUGCCAGGCCAGACCAGACUGGAUGCUACGGUAACCUGCUGGGGGCUCAGUAAAGACUGGUGCCAGAGAUGGCACAGGCACAGUCCUGCAGAGAUCCAAAGCCUCCCUCGGGGUCCUGGCUUCCUUCUCAGCAUCUCAGGGCUAGAGGCAGGUAGGGAGAUACUUCCCGCUUCCCAGCUCUGCCAGGAAAACCUGGGCUCAGAAGCAGGUAAGGACUUUGGCCUCUCCUGCCUCCCGCCCUCUGCCUUGGUUCCUGUGCCUGGUGGUGGGGGCGGGGGGACAGCUGACCGGUACCCAGUCAGAGGAUGCAUGUUCACACGUUCUGGGAUCCUCCAUUUAUGUCCGGGGGGAAGGCUCCAGGCAUCUUCCUUGAGAUAAACAGCCUCCAGGCCUCCUGGGUUUAGAGGAGUUAGCUGGAUGUUAUCAUUGAAAACCACUUCUGAAUAUUUCCUUGCAAUCUGGGGCCAGCCUUGUGGGUGUAUAUAAGAAGGUACCAAACUGCUUUUUCAGAGGGGGCGCUGGAUGAGAACACGGCCUUUCGUCUGGCCCCAAGGCAGAACAGUGGCAGCUCAGCAUUGGCGUGGAAGCUGCUGGGACGAAGAUGGCAGACGCGGUGUCUGCAUCCUCAGUCUUCAGCCCAACAUCUCCCCAGGUUCUGCAGGAAGGAAGGUCUGAAGGACUCAGGUGAGUCUAAGGACAGCCCCGGUCCAAGUCUUACUUUUUAGAUUUCAACCUGUUUGUCCUCACGCUCCAGCAUCUAGUGCCAGGCAUUGAGGUGCCUUGUUAGCACAGCAGGUAGCGUGUCAGUCUCAGAGUGCCAGGCAUGGCUCUCCGCUGGAGCUCAGUGACCAGCAAUUACACAAAACUGAGGAAGAGCUGCACUCCCAUUUGAGCCAGGUGUGUCUGGCACACGCAAGUCUUUACACAUACCAGUGUCCAUGAUAAAACAUAUGCCCCUGUGCUCACAGGGUAGCGGGGUGGCCCUAGGGAUGGGUGGACAGUAAUCACACACACGACUGCAAAGCGACGCUAGACGGAGGGCUUCGAUGUGGUUCACUCGAGCUUCCCCUGGCCACCUCUCAGUCAACCACAUCUUCCGCCUUCCCCGCACGUCCUCUGCCUCCUGGACCCGGCUUCCUUGCCGUCCGCAGGCGCGCCCCCAUUCUUUCCACCAAGCUCUUUUUCUCACUGCUCAUCCAUGUGGGGUGCCCGUCCCUCUUCUCUGCACUGUUCCAUAUUCAGACCCCAACCAUAUUUCAAGGCCCCGCUCAAGUUUAAGACGUCCACGGAGUCUGUGCUUCAUGCAUCCUUCUCUGUUGCUGCUGCUGCUGCACCUGCUGCAAGUCCUAGUGCCUCACCCAGAGCCUGGCACUGAACAGCUCUGGCUGGAGUCCUCACUGUGGCACAGCAGAAACGAAUCUGACUAGUAUCCAUGAGGACGCAGGUUCGAUCCACGGCCUUGCUCAGUGGGUUAAGGAUCCGGUGUUGCCAUGAGCUGUAGUGUAGGUCGCAGACAUGGCUUGGAUCUGGUGUGACUGUGGCAUAGGCCAGCGGCUGCAGCUCUGAUUCAACCCCCAACCUAGGAACCUCCAUGUGCCUCAGGUGUGGCCCUAAAAGGACAAAAAGAAAAAAAAAAGAAAGAAAGAAAGAAAGAAAGAAAGAAAGAAAAAUAGCUCUAAGGUUUUCAGGUGUGCUUCCCUGAUCUCAUGUUCUGGCCUGUGCUUCUACCACCGCGCUACAGAAACCUUUUUCCAAGGUCAACAAUGACGUCAGACAGAGCUGAGUUUGCCUUGUCUCCAUCAGUACUUGCCAAUUCGUGUUCCUUCCUCAGACCCUAUCCUUCCUGACUUGGGUGGCACCCCUCGUAAAAAGCCCUCUCCCGUUUUUAAGUCCAUGGCACUUGGCACUUUCCCGAGACCCCUUUCCUGCUCUUUCAUGGCUCUGCUCCCACCCGUGCUGCGCCCGGGCCUGGGCUCCCAUCUCCCAGCCCCCGUACCCUGGGAGUACCUUCUCAUCGCUGCCUUCAUCCCUCACCUCACCUGUGGUCCUGAGUCAGCCUGGAACACCUGUUGGAUAGCCCAUCUGGGGAGCCCACUGUCCGUUUAUGUUCACAAAAAUUAAAACUCAUUCAACCAUUAUUUGUUGAGCACAUAGUAGGGCCAAGAUCUACUCUAGCCUUGGUAAGCAAGCCAUAUGGAAGUGCUUGCCUCAAGUGUCCAUCAGUAGACAUGACAAAUGAAAGGAUAAAUGAGAUGUGGUACAUCCACACAAGGGGGGAGGUAUCCCGGCUCUAGAGGAAGGAAAUUCUGACCCACGCUCUAGCAUGGAAAAACCUAAUGACAUCAUGUUAAGUGAAGGAAGCCAGCUGCAAAAGGCAAAGGUUGUGUGCCUCUACUUUGAUCGAGUGCCUCGAGUAGGAGAAAGCAGACAGGUGUAUGCCAGGGACUGGAAGGGGAAGGUGGGGAAUUCUUCUGUAGUGGGUACAGUUUCCGUUUUUCAAGGUGAAAAGAAUUCUGAAGAUGGACGGUCAUGAUGGUUGCACAAGAAUAUGAAGGUACUUAAAACCAACGAACCACAUACUUAAAAAUGGUUAAGAUGGUAAAUUUUAUACUACACAUAUUUGCCACAGCAAAAAAAAAAAAAAAAAAAAAAAAAAGGUGUGGGGGGAAGUCCUUGCUCUCUGUGUGCUUUUCUGCACGUUAUGCCUCAGUAACAAUGAAAAAGGCUCGGUCUUCCUGGAACUUUCAUUGUGGACUCGAGACUGCAGUCAUUACCCAGGCAGCUUCCUUCCCGCUGUCCUGUCACCGGAACCGCCAUCCCCCCAGGCCUCGUACCACUGUCCCUCAAUCCCUCCUUCUCCCCCCACAUCCAGGGGCUCUCCGUCCUUCUUCUUCAAGGCUUCAGGUCCCUCCUCCUUCCCAGCAUCCCUCCAUUUGUGAUGGAAAACAUGCGGAGGCAGGAAGCUGUCUGCAGAGCCUGGUUCCAAGGCUGGCCCUGCCCCUGGCUCCGAGGAACCUCACACUUAAGCUUUCAUUUCCUCGCCCGUUCAAUGAGGAGUUUGACGCGAUGUUCAGGACGGCUCCUUCUGGCUCCAGCACAGGCUGCUCUCUGGCUCACCCCACCCAGCCUGGCCCGAGGUCUGGCGUAUUCCUCGCAGGCCCUCAGCGGCCGGAGAAGAAAGGCCUCUUUGAGGAGGAAGCUGGCCGGCCGGGGCGAUGGCUCCCUGCAAGCACUCCCUGGCUCUCUUUCCUGCCUGCCUGAACUUUUACUGCUUGCAACCUUGUGACUCCGGAUUACCUGACCUUGAAUCCUGCCAGCCCUGCAUGGCUGCUGGGACCUCUUCUGACCUGACUGCCUGUAACUGGGACAGCCCUGCCUGCUGCCACUGGACCCUGUCCUGCUUCCACAAACCGAGCUGCCCGUGGCUGUGCGACCACGAUGCUGCGAGCUGGACUCCGCAUUCUCCAGGGUCCCUACUCACGUGCCCGUCUUGGCCCUGGGCUCUGCAGCAUCCUCUGAAGGCAUCCCUUUUGCCAGCAAGGUUUACACCUGUGAUGGAGUCAUUCACUCCCCAAAUGUCCACCGUGGUGUCUACCUGUGGCAGGCACUGCUCUGGGCAAGAGACAAAGCAGGAUGCAGCACGGCUGCUUCUGCCAACAACACAGCCCAUCGCCAGAACAAGCUUCCCGACUCAAAAACGAUGUCAUCCAACUCGUCACUGUCAAACCCUUUCAUCUGAGAGGUAUUAACUGAGCACCUACUAUGCGCCAGGCACCAUUCCAGGCAUUCUAAUAAAAUACCGAUUUACGAACUGCAAUUUUCUAGGCAGUACAACUGAUUACAGAGCACGAGCUCUGCAGUCAAAGUCCCAGUUACGUCACCUUUGGUGAGAACAAAACCUCUCUGAGACUCGGUUUCCUCGCUUGAAAAUGCGGGUUA